rnacentral:misc_RNA from 1 species
UUCAAGAAAUUCUUCUGCAUGCAAUGAAACUUUUCCAACAUCCAAUCUUGGAGCCAAAAGAAGCGAUGGCAUGUACCCACCAGAUUUUUUUGCUGAAGUGGAGCCUUCAUCAACAACAGGAAUCAAGAAUCUAUUAUCAUCAUCAGAAACUCGGUUCAGAAUAGGGGUGUUAAUAUCAGUCUCCAAAAGUGAACUCUCAAGUCCACUCCAAGCUUCCUUGGUCCCUCCAGAAAGGCCAAGUUUUAGAAUUGAAUCAGCAUCCGAUGAUAACCCCUGAGAUGGCAGCAGAAGCUGAUACUUUAUCCUUGUUAAACGUCAUGCUGUAAUAAUCAUUACAAUAAGCAGAUGGUGUUGGACCUAAUCCAAGCACCAACUUACAGCCAUCAUCAGGGCCAUUGGGAAAAUCAACCUUACAUAUGCUUCGAGUACUCUCAAAUCCAGUCACACUGCUUCCUCCAUUGGCUAGGCAGUUCAAGCGUAACGUCGUAUCACCAUAGUUUUCAGUUUUAGAAAGUUCGCUGUUAUGACAAAACUGCUUAUCUUUAUCAUUCAGAUCCAUUCUCUAGAUGUUGUGAACUCAAGGACUAAGAAGAACUAAGGAAUAGAGGGCCAACCAACAAUAGUUUUUAUCACAUGCUAAUGGCAUGAAUAAUUACCAAAAUGAAGUGUAAAUGUCCAAAUAGGCUAACUCCCCCACUGACAAAGCCUGAUGUGUCUGACCUGUCCAUCUUUGUACACUUCAGCACUGACAACAGGGAAUUAAAAAAAAUUGCACAUGGACUUAGGUCCUAGAAAUAUCUGACAACAUUUCUAGGAUAAAAUCCUUUAAUGAGAACAAGUAAAAUUGAUAUGAAAGAUCUUGGGAGCGACUCGUGCUCCUUCCUAAAUUAUUUGGCUUCAUCAACCAACUUCAUAAAAAUUAGAGCAAAUUUCGAGAAAGCGAGUGGAUCUGAGAAGUGGCUAUAGACAUCGUUGAAAGUUUA